rnacentral:lncRNA from 1 species
AAGGGUGAAUUUACAACAGGAACAUGCAAUCGCCUAUUGACUGUAGUUGAAGAGAUAGAGGGGGCAAUGAGAGUCAGGAGGCUAGAGUUGCAGGAAGCAAGGAACAGAGCAGUAUUGGCAGAAAAAAGUAGGCUCGAGUUAUUGAGAAAGUUGAAGGAAUCAGAAGAGAUGGUGAAAAAACUUACAACACACGACAGAUUCCUAUUGGAAGAUAACAGGAAAACAAAGGAAAACUUGAUGCAGCAAAAGGUAUUGUUACAUAUCAUCAUUUGUUUUUAUCUGGUGCUUAUGUUGCAGCAAAUUUUACAAGCAGGAAAAAAAAGUUAAAUUUUAAUACGGGAAGUAUAUUCAUUAGCAUUGCACAUAAAUUAAACAAAUCUACUAUAGGUUUGUUCAACGGGAAUUAUGGUCAUGGAAUGCAUCCUGUAUAAUGAAACUCAGUUUGGUUGCAUUGCAUUUCUGAAUUUGUUUAAAUGUCUCUUUCAGUACAGAUAUAUUACUGGAUAUGAUAUGUAUGAAUGUCAAGUAUAAAUUCUCAUUUUUUUAAGGAUAGCCUGAUCAGCUGACCAUAUGCUAUAUGUUUAAUGGCCUUUAACAAAGAUGUUUUCGAAUUUUUUGUCUUCUCUAACUGUGGUGGAAGAUCAAGCUAAAGACGACAAGUUGAUAUGGGAACUGCUCAGAAACAAAAGGAAGUAUCAGAUACCAGACAGUCCAUCUGGUCCGGAACAGCUUCUAGGCAUAGGAACUUAUGACAAAAACCUUAAAUCAACAAGCAAGAUUUCCUCAAUCAGUUGCAUAAUUACAAGGCCACAAACAAAAGGGCACUCCAGGCUACUCUUGGGUUCUUCUCCUUCAGCAAACGCUCAAAGAGUCUUGUCCCGCAAGCGUGUUACUCCUUGACUUCAAGCUUAAAUCAGUGCAUCAUUCUAGAAGCUUCAGGGGACAUUGUAAUUAGAGAAACUAAUGGUCUCUUUGGCUUCCUAUUGUUCUUGACUUUUU